AGCGAACGCUGGCGGCAGGCUUAACACAUGCAAGUCGAGCGGGCAUCCUUGUGGUGUCAGCGGCAGACGGGUGAGUAACGCGUGGGAACGUGCCCUUCGGUUCGGAAUAACUCAGGGAAACUUGAGCUAAUACCGGAUACGUGCGAGAGCAGAAAGGUUUAUCUGCCGAAGGAUCGGCCCGCGUCUGAUUAGCUAGUUGGUGAGGUUAUGGCUCACCAAGGCGACGAUCAGUAGCUGGUCUGAGAGGAUGAUCAGCCACACUGGGACUGAGACACGGCCCAGACUCCUACGGGAGGCAGCAGUGGGGAAUAUUGGACAAUGGGGGCAACCCUGAUCCAGCCAUGCCGCGUGAGUGAUGACGGCCUUAUGGUUGUAAAGCUCUUUUCUCCGGGACGAUAAUGACGGUACCGGAGGAAUAAGCCCCGGCUAACUUCGUG
rnacentral:rRNA from 1 species